GAGUUGGCCAGGGUAAUCGCUGCCUUAUUGAUGUCCCUUGACUUAGUGUUGGGGAGACUGAUGAGGGGGAGGAAAGUCCGGGCUCCAUAGAGCAGGGUGCCAGGUAAUGCCUGGGGAGCGUGAGCUCACGACAAGUGCAGCAGAGAGAAUACCGCCGAUGGCCUAUUUUAUAGUGCACAGGUAAGGGUGAAAGGGUGCGGUAAGAGCGCACCGUGCGUCUGGUAACAGUGCGUAGCAAGGUAAACUCCACCCGGAGCAAGACCAAAUAGGCUUCCACAUAGCGCGGCUCGCGUUUGGAGGCGGGUAGGUUGCUUGAGCCAGUGAGUGAUUGCUGGCCUAGAGGAAUGGUUACCACCGUGUAAACGGUACAGAACCCGGCUUAUGUGGCCAACUCCACC
rnacentral:RNase_P_RNA from 2 species